GGGAUUAGAUAAGUUUCGACUUCUCACUCCUUUAAUUUUACAUUGUCUGUUAUUGUUUUAUUUUUUCUUUUAUUAUAAUCCUUAAAA